CCGUAUUUCGUACGUCCAGAAAAUUCAAGGUAAUGGGGAGAAGUUAAGAAUAAGACUAUGUUUCAAAAAUAAUUUUAAUAUACGAGUUGUUGAAAAUAUUAUUUAUGAAUAUUGUUAGAGUGGAAAUAUUGAGGAAGACCAAGGGCGGAAAGGAAAUUGGCAAAAUGGCAUUAUGGUAAUUUUGUGGAAAGGCUAGGGGUAAAAUGGUCAUUUUACAAAUGUUCAAGAAAUCUCUUGAAAAAGGCCAUGUGGCCGAAAAAAAAAGGGAAAAGAAAAGGGAUUAAGUCAUCUUUGGAAAUUUGGAGAAAAAUCUAGAAAAAAAAAAGAGAAAAAGAAAGGAAAAAUCUAGAGAGGGGGAAGCAUGUGCCCCUCACAUAACCUAUACAACUAUAUAUAUAUAUGUGUAGUCAUAUUAUUAAGAGAAAAAGAGUGGAAGAAAGAAGAAGAAAAAGGAGAGGAGAAAGAGGAAGUGCACGGCCAAGGGGCAAAAAUUUGGCCCCUUGAAAUAGUGAUCAAAAAAUUAUUCUCUCCUAGAAUUCCAACCAAUUUGAAGGCCCUCUUCGACAUGGUAUAGUUGUUUCGGAAGAUAGGUCGUUCGUUUCAUCAUUUCCGCACGUUGGUCAAGGGAAGAGGUUGAAGAGAAGAGACAAACAAAUUGGAUGCAUAAGCGUAGCUGGAGGUCGCGGCACAGGUACCCACAAGUGGAUAGACGAGAUUAGCUGAAGAUGAUCCGGUGGAUUGGCGGGCUCCAUUUCCUCCAGGAGUGCUGCCGAAUCAGAGUAUGUAUGCUGUGAUGUCUGAUCAGUAUUAGAGACUUUGCAGACAGCGUCGUGGGUAAUGAUAGUCAGUCUGUAAGCGGCUC